rnacentral:rRNA from 1 species
UACGGGGGGGGCAAGCGUUGUUCGGAAUUACUGGGCGUAAAGGGCUCGUAGGCGGCCAACUAAGUCGGAUGUGAAAUCCCCAGGCUUAACCUGGGAACUGCAUCCGAUACUGGAUGGCUUGAAUCCGGGAGAGGGAUGCAGAAUUCCAGGUGUAGCGGUGAAAUGCGUAGAGAUCAGGAAGAACAUCGGUGGCGAAGGCGCUCUGCUGGACCAUAACUGACACUCAGGGACGAAAGCUAGGGGAGCGAAUGGG